rnacentral:rRNA from 1 species
UACGGAGGGUGCAAGCGUUAUCCGGAUUCACUGGGUUUAAAGGGAGCGUAGGUGGGUCUGUAAGUUCAGUGGUGAAAUCUCCGGGCUUAACCCGGAAACUGACCAUUGAAUACUAUAGGUCUUGAAUCUUCUGGAGGUCAGCGGAAUAUGUCAUGUAGCGGUGAAAUGCUUAGAUAUGACAUAGAACACCAAUUGCGAAGGCAGCUGACUACAGGGGCAUUGACACUGAGGCUCGAAAGCGUGGGGAUCAAACAGGAAUUAGAUUACC